AUUUAUUUAUUUAUUUAUUUAUUUAUUUUAUUCCUUCCUUUUCAACAAUACUGUGCUUUGUUUUUUUCCCAUAUUUUUUAUUGAGAAAAUUUUUAUUUUAUUGGGAAAUUUAUUUAUAGUUGGACAUAAUGGUGGUAUUUGUUGUUACGUAUUCAUACAUAAUAGAACAGUAUAAUUUAGCUAUUACCAUCCCCCAGUUCUUCUCUUUCUUCUUCUCCUCCCUUCCCCAUCCCUUUCCUCUAUUCUACUGAUCUCCCUUCAAGUUUCAUGAGACCCCACGACACACACACCUUUCUUUUGCUUUUUCUUUUCUAGCUUCCACAUAUGAGAAAACAUACAACCCUUGACCUUCUGAGUUUGGUUUGUUUUGCUCAAUAUAUGUUCUCAAGUUCCAUCUUCUUUCCUGAAAAUGACACAAUUUCAUUUUUCUUUAUGUCAUGUCUUUCUUUCUUACAGUACUUUAUGGCUGGCAAACCUCUUUCAGACAAAAUUUGCUUUGAGUCUUAAUCUCCAGGGGCAACACUGGACACAAAGAGAAAGCAAAUGGAAAGACAGGGAAAAUGUCAAAGAGCCAAACAAAGACCAAAGCAGAUGCUUGGAUCCCUGAACACCUGACUAUUCCUGAAGCGUUUCCCCACUAGGCCUCUUGCAUGGCAGUACUUUUGACCCAGGUGCUGAGGCUGUGGACACGAAAUAGGUAGGCGCAGAUGCACCCAGAAGACUCUCAAGACAGUACUUUG
rnacentral:lncRNA from 1 species